rnacentral:rRNA from 1 species
AGAUCAUAAAUGCUGGAAUGCUUUAUGAUUGAAAGGUUUCGACCGCCUUAGGAUGGAUCUGCGGCCUAUCAGGUUGUAGUGGGUGUAAUGUACCUACUAGCCUACGACGGGUACGGGUUGUGGAAGCAAGAGCCCGGAGAUGGAUUCUGAGACAUGAAUCCAGGCCCUACGGGGCGCAGCAGGCGCGAAAACUUUACAAUGCGGGAAACCGUGAUAAGGGAACACUGAGUGCUAGCAUUUAUGUUAGCUGUCCACAUGUGUAAAUAGCAUGUGAUAGCAAGGGCUGGGCAAUACCGGUGCCAGCCGCCGCGGUAACACCGGCAGCCCGAGUGGUUGAUCACUAUUAUUGGGUCUAAAGGGUCCGUAGCCGGUUUAAUCAGUCUUCUGGGAAAUCUAAUCGCUUAACUAUUAGGCUUCCAGGGGAUACUGUUAGACUUGGGACCGGGAGAGGUAAGAGGUACUG